rnacentral:rRNA from 1 species
GACGAACGCUGGCGGCGUGCUUAACACAUGCAAGUCGAACGAGUGGCGGACGGGUGAGUAAUGCUUGGGAAUCUAGCUUAUGGAGGGGGAUAACUACGGGAAACUGUAGCUAAUACCGCGUACCAUAGGAUGAGCCCAAGUGGGAUUAGGUAGUUGGUGAGGUAAAGGCUCACCAAGCCGACGAUCUCUCGCUGGUCUGAGCGGAUGACCAGCCAUAACGGGACUGAGACACGGCCCAUACUCCGACUGGAGGCAGCAGUAGGGAAUAUUGCGAAAUGGGGGCAACCUGACGCAGCCAUGCCGCGUGAAUGAAGAAGGCCUUCGGGUUGUAAAGUUCUUUCGGUAGCGAGGCGUUAACUACAGGAGAAGCACCGGCUAACUCCAUGCCAGCAGCCGCGGUAAUUC